rnacentral:rRNA from 1 species
UACGGGGGGGGCAAGCGUUGUUCGGAAUUACUGGGCGUAAAGGGCGCGUAGGCGGCCCGCUAAGUCGAACGUGAAAUCCCCGAGCUCAACUCGGGAACUGCGUCCGAUACUGGUGGGCUUGAAUCCGGGAGAGGGAUGCGGAAUUCCAGGUGUAGCGGUGAAAUGCGUAGAUAUCUGGAGGAACACCGGUGGCGAAGGCGGCAUCCUGGACCAACACUGACGCUGAGGAGCGAAAGCCAGGGGAGCAAACGGG